GGAGGCUUAGCUCAGCUGGUUAGAGCGCUGCUUCACACGCAGGAGGUCACUGGUUCGAGUCCAGCAGUCUCCACCA
rnacentral:tRNA from 1 species